CCCCUAGAUGUUCUGGGCCGCACGCGCGCUACACUGAGCAGUUCAACAAGUCUUAACCUUGGCCGAUAGGUCUGGGUAAUCUUUGAACGCUGUUCGUGAUUGGGAUAGACCUUUGCAAUUAUGGGUCUUCAACGAGGAAUUCCUAGUAAACGCAAGUCAUCAGCUUGCAUUGAUUACGUCCCUGCCCUUUGUACACACCGCCCGUCGCACCUACCGAUUGAAUGGUCCGGUGAAAUCUCGGGACGGCGGCUUGGUCGCUUGCGUCCGACUGCUGAAACUUGAUUAAACCAUAUCAUUUAGAGGAAGGUGAAGUCGUAACA
rnacentral:rRNA from 1 species